rnacentral:misc_RNA from 1 species
UUGAUAAGUAAUGCAAUAGAUUGCAUUGAUUUUGGAUGUAUACAACAUAAACAUCUGACCUAAGGACUAAUUGGAAGUAACCUAAGUCCCGAGUCUGCUUUUGCAACUAGCUAAUAAGCCCCAGUAGCAGAAAAACUUUAAGGUUCACAAAUGUUGAAUUGGCUGCACAAUGUUUAAUCUCAUCUCUGUACAGGAUUAUUUGUUUUCAAAAAUUGGUAAUCGGUGAUUAGUAUUCUUGUAAGUGGUCUUGCUAUUGGAUUUUUCCUUAAUUUGUUUUUGUUUUUUGUGAAAAAGUUAUACAAAUUUAAUGAUGCAGGCUAAAGAAUUACUCUAAGCAUUCAAAACAUGUGAUUUCCAUUGUGACCAUCUCAGGAUGAGAGGGAAAGCAACAAGCGAUAUACUUUUAGAUGAAACUACGCAGUCCAUGUAUCGUAGCUUUCUCAAAACAGUGCCUUAUCUCUACAUUGGGUUAGGGCUCUAAAUUCAGAUCAUUAAUGUUAUUGUUAUUGGAGAUCAAUUCAGAUUCAGCAUUAUUGCGAUGAGAGAUCAAUUCAAAUUUUAAAUGUGCUGUAACUUUUUAAGAGGAAUUGGAUAGCUUGAAAGUCAAGUGGUUGACAAGGCCAAAUCUCUUCACUUAGAUUUGUUCUCUCAGUUUACCUAUGUAUAUGGAGUCCCUCACCUUACCACCUUGAGAAGGGUGCUUAAUGCUUUCUUUCUUCAAAUUUGAUGCGCGCAACAUGUGACUUAGGAAGAAGUAUGUUUGAAGACUUAGGAACUUUAGAAUUAUGGUGUAGAUUUCAUUAGGGCCACAAAGGACAACGUAAAGCAUUUUGUUUUUGUGUUAUUUUCAAUAAUACUCAUGAAUUUGAGAAUCACAGAUUCCUGAAACUGGAUAAGUUACAAUAUCAUGUUGUGAAUAAGGAAUUACCAAUGUACGUAUUGUCAGAUGUCAAUGGAAAUUAUUAUUGGGUAUAAAUAGCUUUCAUUGUCGGUUUUUGUCUGUGCGUCUGUGCAUGCAUCAUGUUUGUAUAUCUGAUUUGUAAGAACUUUUUUGCCCUAUGAAAAAGUGUUCAUGCCUAAUGUGAAAGUUCCUUUUGAAACUUGAGCUUAUUUUGAAGUGAUUUUCCUUCUUAUACUGUGUCUUUAAUUAAUUGAAUAACAAAUUAGCAAGAAUGCAAGUCUUUUCUGCUUUCACUUUUCACUUGUAGGUUUAAUGCAACAGAUUUCUUGACAAGAUUGAGAGGUAAGAGGCUGAUGUUGGUUGGAGAUUCCAUGAACCGGAACCAGUUUGAAUCAAUGCUAUGCCUGCUCCGGGAAGGCCUGCCUGAUAAAAGCAGAAUGCGUGAAAUACAUGGCCACAAAAUAACAAAGGGAAGAGGCUAUUAUGUCUUCAAAUUUAUGGAUUAUAACUGUUCAGUGGAGUUUGUGAGGUCACAUUUCCUUGUAAGGGAAGGGGUUCGCAUCAAUGCACAGGGAAACUCAAAUCCAACUUUAUCCAUUGACCGAAUUGACAAGACAUCAGGUCGGUGGAAGCGGGCGAACAUUCUUGUUUUUAAUACUGGGCACUGGUGGACUCAUGGAAAAACUGCUCGUGGGAAAAAUUACUAUAAAGAAGGUGAUUAUCUCUAUCCACAGUUUGAUGCAGUUGAGGCUUACAGAAGGGCUCUGAGGACCUGGGCAAAGUGGAUUGAUGGGAAUGUAGAUCCUGUGAAGCAGUUGAUCUUCUAUCGAGGAUAUUCAUCUGCUCAUUUCAGAGGUGGGGAUUGGGACUCGGGAGGGUCAUGUAAUGGGGAGACUGAACCAAUAUUGAAAGGGGCCAUACUCAAUAACUACCCUUUGAAAAUGAAGAUAGUGGAGGAGGUAAUCCGGGAAAUGCAGAUCCCAGUGAAACUAUUAAAUGUGACAAAGUUGACCAAUUUUAGAAAGGAUGGACAUCCAUCAGUCUAUGGCAAAAAUCUGACUGCAGGGAGAAAAAUUUCCACAAGGCGGCAAGACUGUAGCCAUUGGUGUCUUCCAGGGGUUCCUGAUGCAUGGAAUGAGUUGAUAUAUGCCACACUGGUUUUUGGACAAACAGUUUCCAGGAGUUAGAACAACAAUGCAUGUUUUCCUUCUAUACAAAUUAUGUUUUUGACAAAAUAAUGAACACUUUUUUGGUUGUAUAAACUAUGGUUGUUCAAGUCGUGCAACAGCAUCCUCUGACAACCACCCUGAUGAUGUGAUGAAAAAUCUGCAUAUGAUUCGCAUUUAUGCGUAUUGUUCCAAAUGUUUGAAUGUCAUAUGCACAUGCACGAACAUCCGUAUGGGGGAGAAGAUUUUAGCUGAUGAUGUUGGUGAAAUUACCAUUUCUGUUUUUCUCUGUUUGGAAACUAUAAUUUUGUAAAAAUUUAAUUUAAUUGAUUUUUUUAUUUUUGUUAAUUCUUAUAUUUGAAAA